UAAAUUGAGAGUUUGAUCCUGGCUCAGGAUGAACGCUGGCGGCGUGCUUAACACAUGCAAGUCGAGCGAGGGAGCACCUUCGGGUGUGAACUAGCGGCGGACGGGUGAGUAACACGUGGGCAACCUGCCUUACAGAGGGGGAUAGCCUUCCGAAAGGAAGAUUAAUACCGCAUAUUAUGAUUUUUCUGCAUG
rfam:Clostridium cadaveris strain NLAE-zl-G419 genome assembly, contig: Ga0070261_121